GACGAACGCUGGCGGCGUGCCUAAUACAUGCAAGUCGAACGCUGUGGGGACGGGUGAGUAACACGUGGGUAACCUCCCAUCAGAGGGGAUAACACUUGGAAACAGGUGCUAAACCGAUACUGAUGGAUGAACCCGCGGUUCAUUAGCUAGUUGGUGAGGUAACGGCUCACCAAGGCCUCGAUGCAUAUCCGACCGGACAGGAUGAUCGGCCACACUGGGACUGAGACACGGCCCAGACUCCUACGGUGGGCAGCAGUAGGGGAUCUUCGGCCAUUGACGAAAGCCUGAUCGAGAAACGCCGAGUGAGUGAGGAAGGUUUUCGGUUCGUAAAACGCUGUUGUUUAAGAAGCGGUAUCUAGCCAGAAAACCACAGCUAACUACGUGCCAGCAGCCGCGGUAAUAC
rnacentral:rRNA from 1 species